UUUCAUAAUUCAAGUUAAUGAGUUGCAUUUUUCAAAUUCAGCUUAACAUUAAGUGUGUAACACCACCAGAGGCAAUCCUUGCCACAGAAUCAGCACACGUGUUCUGUCUGGCCCAAACCCUGCUGAAUUUUUGCUCCCACUUCCAUGGAUAUCUCUGCCCGAAAACAAGGGUUUGUAGUUGUCUGUAACAGUGUAAUAGACAGGACUGCCAGGCGAAGUUUGACUCUGUGUGGCUGUUAUUUUUCAGUGAGUUUUGCCAAAUGAUCAGACUUUAAAUAACCAUUCAGAAUAAAUGUAGGUGUAGGCAAAUAUCAUCUCCCCUGGCUCAGGUGCUGAGUUUUGUCUGCUUGGACAGAAUCUUUUGACAGCUCUCUAGAAGCUGCCCCUGUGUUGCUGGCAGGAGCACAGAAGGGCCUGGUUCCACCAGUAAAAAUCUGUUAACCCAAUCUACACUGGACUGGAGUUUUUGCAGAUUUUUAACAACCUUUCCAACCUUGUUAUGUCCAUUCACUCACUGAAAUCUAUCCUACAUGAUGAAAGGGACACUGCACUUCUUGGGAACAGGUUUUGGCUGGCUUGCUUGACUUCCUGUAAAUCUCCAUAGGUUCCUGAUGGAGAGCAAUGGAUCUGAAGCAGAUCCAUUGCUCCUUAAACUGCCAGGGAAGGAAUUAACACACUAUUAGGCACAGACAAUAUUGGUAGAUUGGUAAGUAGGAGCACCUACUUGAACCAAAGAUGGGAGGCAUGAAGAAUUAUCUGGUUUUGAAUAGAUUGACUUUGUUUUCUGCUUCUCUAGUGGCUUCAUUUUCCAGGUGAUGCUGGCACUUCAUCCAAUUCCCACAUAUAAGCACUACUGAAUAACCAAAAAAGUCAUAUUCAUCUGCCAUUGUUUGCUUUUUGUAAAACUUAUUGUAUACCUAGAUAUAAUGAAAGAGCAGAAUGCAUUUAAUUUUUUUUUUUGUUUUCUCACAUAUUUAGACAACCAAAGCAAUUACUGAAAAUUUUCCAGUUAGUUUCAGCUGUAUUUGACCCUAACGUCAGAAGUCUAGUUGGAAAAGAGUGAAAUGGCAAGCAACAAAAGUCUCCAAUAUCAGCAGAAUUUCCCAGGGACAAGAGCCAAGGAUCAGGAGGAAGGAUCUGUCAAGGGAAGUCGUGGCCACAGUUGGAAAUCAGUGGGUUUUGCUGAGAUUAAUCCAAUUUGCAAACAGAAGCAAACUGGAAAAUGCAGGCCUUAUUUCAUCUUUGCCCAAAUUGGUGUUUGAACUUCUGCAAAGCAGUCACGAGGCAUUGUGUUCCCAUGUGCGGGUUUUGUGUUUUCAGUUCUCAGAAAACUGCAACAGGAAUGGGAAAUACUUGUCUCCACUUCAAUGCAAAUGCCAAACUGAGGGUGACAAGGCUUGUCCAGUCUCCUAAUGUUUAACUGGUGCAGCUGAGAAGAAAAUGGAGCUGUCCUGUUCUGACCCCAAACCUGCUCCAUGCCACACAAUUGGGACCAGAAGAUUUUUUCUCUGUGCUUUUCCUAAUCCCUGAAAAGAAAAAAAACCUGGAACACCAACAAAGCCUGGCUCAAAGACAGCAUGUGAGUUAAGUACAGAGAGAAAGAAUGAUUUAUUGUGUGAACCAUGUUGUUGACUCAGAAAACCUCACAAAUUGUUUCCCAAUGUUUAUGUGCAAGACUCAAUUAAAUGCAGGUAAUUAAAAGCUCUUUCACAGAACUGACAAAACAACUUCCCUACCUGUGGAGACAUUCCUUCUGAAAAGAAAUUACCAGUCCCCAAACAUGCUUGGGAUUAGAACAGAAAGAUGCUAAGCAUUUUCAUGUCUUUAAAAAGGACACUCUUGAUUUGCUUGUGACAGGCGUGCUAUUUUACAAUCAUUUUAUUUAAACUAUGAAUAAAAUUCUGACAUGUUCCACAGAAAAUAACAGAGAACAGAGAGAAGAAAUGCAAAAUAUUGUUUGUUUUUAUGGAUGAUUUAAAGUUUUGCCACCUAGCACAGCUGUCUGAAUAAGUGCACUAAGGUGAACUCAACAUACAAUAGACCACAUGAUAGCAGAGAAAAUAAUUUGCAAUUAAAUUAAGUGGCCCAUGCAAUCUGAUAUAUUCAUCCUUGAAAAAAAAAAUAUAUGGAUGCUAACACUUGAGUCAGAAUUUAAAUCUGAGAGUUGUGCUAUUAAUAAUUAAAUUAAUUUAGAAAGGUAUCUGCAGUAUAUCUAAUUAAUUGACUGUUGUACAAUAUUAGUCUUUUCCUUUUGAAGUUUUUGAAGUCAGCCAGUAUUUAUAGCAAAAAAGUGCUGCUAGGGACUUUUAAGUUGUAAUUCAUAAUUGUUAUGUCCCAUCAUUUAAAAGGCUUGUCCCAUCAAUAUGGUUCUUCUGUUUAUUGCUUAGGAGUCUGGUAAUAAUUAAAAGUAAAAUGGUGGAAAGUAAAUUAAAUCCUACAUUAUAGAGCUAUUAAUAGGGGAAAAGUACACCUUGUACAAUUAAAACAAAGGAGUCAAGUGUUCCUUUAAAAAAUAAGGCCAGUGCUUCUACUGUAUAUGUGAGAGACAUAAAAUAUGGAUUUUUAAAUCAAAAUUGAAUGUAUCAAGUUCAGUUAUGACAAGUUGCAGGUUAAAAGCAUGCUUCCAGGUGCUGAACAGGUGGAAAUGCAAAGGAGCAGAGCAAGGAAGUGAUGUUUUCAAGGUCAGGUCUGGUGGUAGUGCUGCAAAUGCAUGACUGAAAUCAGGUACUUUGAACAAAAGAAAGCUGUGUUUUGCUCUCUCUCCUGCACUGAUGCUGACUUCUGGUCCUUUCCUUGUAAAGCACGUGUGAGCCCAGCUGCUUCUCAAAGCUUUACGUCUGGUCACAGCCUCUGCUACUUCAGAAGGUAAAUAUUUGAGAAGAGCACCUGUCCUGAGAUAAUUUCAGAGCAGUUUAGCUGCACCAUGUCUUUUUCCACCAGCUGUUACUUGGGCCCUGGAGCUGAGCAUUGAGUGGAAGAUAUUUUUCCUGCUCUGAGGCAGAAGCCCAGGCUGUGGGGUCUGCUGGUGGUCUUCCUCCAUGCCUGGGUGCUUCUGGUUCAGCUCCACCUCAGCCCGCAGAUGGACAGUCCUUCCUUUAUUGUUUUUGUAUUAAAAAAUGCUCUCCAGUUAUUUUAAUCUAAAUUAUCUUUAUGCUGUUACUGGUGGGAGAAAACCAGCUUGUUUCAGUGGGUGGAAAAUGUUUUGCUGUUCCCAUGCUGCAGCUUCUUCUGGUGAGAUGGUAUUUCCUCAGUCAUACAGAACAGUUGUUUGAUAAUUUUGUUUUACCUUUGUCCUUCUAAGCCUUAUCUUAUGUGAGUAGUGAUAUUCUAGAUUCUAAUCUUUCUUCACAAGCUUCUUAAUGUUAAUUUCUUUUCUGUACCACUGAAUCUGUUAGUCCCCGAGGCAGAGACAAGAAAAGAGCCAAGCCAAAGCUCUUUGAUGGAGUUUUCAAGGUUCACCUUACGCUGCCCUUCUGGAUGCCAGAGUACCUGCUCAUCAAGGACGAGAUACCAGCUGAGCCAUUUUGUUGCCCACAAUAUUGUUUUGCUGUAACAUGUUUGAAUGUUUUUCAAUAUUUCAUUUAAUUUCUCUAGCCUCAGGGCUGCAUCAGUGAGGUUUCAGAGCCCUUUGACAAGCAGCCUGAGAAACCAACACCCAGUCCAUUUGCUGUUUUUUCCAUUAUUUUGCUCACUUCAGAGCAUGACACGGAGUCCACCAUCUUCUGGAAAACAGUGCUGGAAACAUUUAUUGAUAAUUCCUCUCCACACUUCCCUCCAUCCCCUGGGUUUCUACAUGAGCAUGGAUAGCUCGUGUGGUUUGGCUGAGAAAGUUACUGCCCUCAGCUGCAGAGUGUAAAUCAGCCACCACUUCCAUUUACACUGAAGUUCUGCACUGUAAACCAUGUGGCUCAAGGUCUGCUUGCUGAUCAGCUAAAACAUCUUCCCUGCGGUGGCAGUGUGAAAAAAUUAACUGUGAACUGCCUGAAAAUAAAGCAUCUUGUUUGUAAUUAAAGCCCCCUUUUUAUAUUCUUUGCUGAGUAAAUCUAGAUGACUUUUCCCUCCUUAGUGACACAUUCAUUACAGAAUUACUGUGGUGAUUUGAGGAGCAACAGCUGAGAUUAUUAUGAGUUCUUCUGGAAUUGGUGGGACACAGGCAGAAUAAAGCACGAGUUUUCAGUCCAGCAACAUUUAGUAUCUGGAGGAGGCAGAUUGAUGCUUCUUGCUGUUGCUGGCUGUCUCGUUCUGUAUGUGUCUGGCACCUUAGGGCAAUUGCUUUGGAUUAGAGAUGGCACUGAGCACGCAAAGGAAAAAUGGCACUUUGUGUACGGUGAGAGAGCGCCUCACAACAGCCCUUUGAACCAGCUCAUUUGUUCUAGUCGCUGGCUGGGAGUCCUGUGACUUUAUCUGGUACAUGCAGGCAUGAAAAAGGAAUAAAAAAAAAAAAGAAAAAGAAAGAGCCUACUUAUGCUCAAGGUUGUGCAGGUUUGGUCUGUGGGCCAGUUUGUCAACGUGUGAGCUGUGUUAUGAACAUUUGUUUAUCCAGGCAGUUAUCUGUUCACCUGCGUGCUCCUUCUGGUAGCCAGGAAUAAUGGGCACUCUCUGUCACAGCCCAGACACGCAACUGCACAAUUGUUUUAUUCUUCUGCAGUGUGCUUUGUUUUUGUUUUGUUUCUCCAAGUGGCCUACUGCACACUGAGUAGCUUAAGCUGCCAUUAUCUGUGACUAGCAGCAGUUAUUUAGAUAAAUGAAAUCAUUGUAUUUGCCUUAUUGGCAGCGUAGUGGGUGGAAAAUCUAAUGGCCUUGUUUGCUGGAGCAUUUUGGCAUUACUUUUAGCUUCAUGGGGCCUCUAUCAUCCAUUAGCUUUACUAGUUAAUACUCUCAAUAUUUACUCUGGUUCUUAAAUAACUGUUUUGCAUAAGAAUAUAAGAUGAAGCCAACAGGAGCAUUUUCAUGUUCUGAUUAUAUUAUUACUUAGGAAAAGAAGGAACAACCUGAUGGCUGAAUUUUUCACCUUGCAACUUGUAGUUAAUUAGCAAAAUCCCCUCAGCUGGUGGUUUGGGCUGAUGGCAAAAAAAGUUGUGAUGGAUUGUUAAAGGGUGAGAAGAAUGGCUGGCUUGUUCCUACAGAAGACACAAUUACCUACCUAUGGUGCACCUAAUUUUCUUUCUUGAAUAAAUAGCAGUGGACACAACUAUGAUUAUCCAUUUUCUGAUACAGAUGAACAUUUUGACACCAGGAAGAAAGCUCUUUUCCCACUUAAGGAAUAUUUAAACAUGCUUCUCUUUUGUAUUCGCAAAACAACUCAGAUUUACGAGUUUUCUUAUGGGAUUUUACCUUUUAUCUCUGAAGCACUAAUAACGAAAUAGAAAACUUUACAUGAAAUGUGGAUGUUCAUUUUGUAAAUAGAAAACUUUUCCAAACUUUUAAAUCCCUCUUCUCUUUGUGCUGUGUUUACCUGAAGAUGUUUGUAUGAAUCUCUAACCUCUCCCUUGCAAUUCUCUUUGCUACAGGUGUGGUCACUUGUAAGCCUGUCAGGAAGGACUGGAUAAGAGCUGCUGCCUCUUUGAAUACCUAUUUGCACUGAAGGGCUUCUAGAUGUGCUUCAGAGGAAGCCUGCCAAAAUUUCAGAACCCUGCUGUUUUUCAGUGAGGACAGACCACCCUCCCAGAUACUGAUCUCAAUAAAAGAGAGUUCUUGCCAUUAAUAGUGACUAACAAUGGGAAAAGCAUUAAAUCUCAGAGAUCUAAAAUGAAAUAGAUGAGGAGUAAAAAGCUUUCAUGCAGUGAAAUUUAUUCCAUGGAUGUUAAACAAGGAGUUAUUGUAUCUUCUGCAUUAUUCUUCUGAAUUAUUAUUCUGGCUGCAUAAAGAAACAAGAAAACACGGGAGCAAGGGUUUCACAGCAAUGAUCUGAAAUCUUCAUGAAUGUUAAAAACAAUGUGGUAAUGUUUGCCUCCACUUUAAGUGCUGAAUAUUGCUCAUUUUUCAGUUGAAACUUAUUUUUUUUGUCUUUCCCCCUUCCAAAUAGCCUUGCUGUUGUUACACUGAUUGAAAGUGACUUAUCUUUUUCUUACCUGGGGUAAGUUCCUGUUGUCUGAGAAAUGAGGGGCAGCACUGUGCAGCAUUUUGUCUGGAGUCUUUCUAAUUGGGACUCUGCCUGUGUGCUACAGGUCCUUUUGAUUUUCAGCACUCCAGGAGGCAAAAUUUAUUUAAAUAGUAACACUGGAAGUAAAAUAUGUAUGUAUGUAGGGAAAGUAGUUUUUAAAGUAGUUUGGCUUAUGUGAGAAUUCAUAAUAGAAAAUAAAACCCUGAAAGUCUGCA